UUUUAUGGAGAGUUUGAUCCUGGCUCAGGAUGAACGCUGGCGGCGUGCCUAAUACAUGCAAGUCGAGCGAACAGACGAGGAGCUUGCUCCUCUGACGUUAGCGGCGGACGGGUGAGUAACACGUGGAUAACCUACCUAUAAGACUGGGAUAACUUCGGGAAACCGGAGCUA
rnacentral:rRNA from 1 species